UACGUAGGGUGCAAGCGUUGUCCGGAAUUAUUGGGCGUAAAGAGCUCGUAGGCGGUUUGUCGCGUCUGCUGUGAAAUCCCAGGGCUUAACCCUGGGCCUGCAGUGGGUACGGGCAAACUAGAGUGCGGUAGGGGAGAUCGGAAUUCCUGGUGUAGCGGUGAAAUGCGCAGAUAUCAGGAGGAACACCUAUAGCGAAGGCAGCUUGCUGGGACGUAACUGACGCUAAGGCGCGAAAGCGUGGGGAGCGAACAGG
rnacentral:rRNA from 1 species